UACAGAGGCCCCAAGCGUUACUGAGAAUCACUGGUUUAAAGGGUGCGUAGGUGGUCCGUUAAGUUCGUUGUGAAAUCCCUGGGCUCAACCCAGGAAAUGCUUCGAAUACUGGCGGACUUGAGGCUAGUAGAGGUCACUGAACUGACGGUGGAGCGGUGAAAUGCGUAGAUAUCGUCAGGAACGCCGAUGGUGAAGACAGGUGACUGGGCUAGUUCUGACACUGAGGCACGAAAGCGUGGGGAGCGAACGGG
rnacentral:rRNA from 1 species